rnacentral:rRNA from 1 species
UACGUAGGGAGCAAGCGUUGUCCGGAAUUAUUGGGCGUAAAGGGCUCGUAGGCGGCCUGUUGCGUCGGGAGUGAAAACUUACAGCUUAACUGUGAGCGUGCUUUCGAUACGGGCAGCCUUGAGGCAUUCAGGGGAGAACGGAAUUCCUGGUGUAGCGGUGAAAUGCGCAGAUAUCAGGAGGAACACCGGUGGCGAAGGCGGUUCUCUGGGAAUGUCCUGACGCUGAGGAGCGAAAGUGUGGGGAGCGAACAGG